rnacentral:tmRNA from 1 species
CUUAAAAAAACGAGAAUUUAAAUAUAAACGCUGAUAAACAAGAAUUAGCAUUAGCUGCCUAAGAUGCGGCUACGCUUUUCUAAAAUUCCCCACAAAUUUUAGAAAAGUGCCAUAAUAUGUGGGAAACGAAUUUACUUUUGCUUUGAAAGUNNCCUGUUUAUCGGUGAAAAUAAAAUGAAUAAAAAAGAUAAACUAAACUUGUAGAAGUCUAUUUGGAAAGUAGUAUGGACAGGAGUUCGAUUCUCCUCAUCUCCACCA